rnacentral:lncRNA from 1 species
CCCCCUUUACAAUUGAAAAUAGUAGGCUUUAUAUCCGAAAAAAAAAGGAAAAGAAAAAAUAAAAAUCCAUUUUUAUUCUUCUCCAUUUGCUGUUCUGUUGUCGUCCUUUUUGUUUGUCUCUACUGCUGUUGCUUUUUUUUGUUUUGCAGGUACGGGUGUGCUGGCGUGGCUGGUGGUGUACUGGAGCGUGCCAGGGCAGUGGAGGCUGAAUGGUUGCGGCGCACAGAGAGAGCCCUAGGGUUUCUGUUCUUGAAAUGUUUCGGGCCUUUUGGGCUUAUGUAAUUUGGGUCUGGGUUUAUCCGUUAAUGGGUUUUAGGAUAUUUGAUUUUGGGUUGUAAUUAGACAGAUAAUGGACUGUUAUAAUUAUUUUUGUUUUUUCUUGGUUUAUUCUUGUGGUCUGGGCCCGGGCAUAAUUUGGGCCUUACAG